CUGGUUUUACUGUCUAGUAAAAUGCAAAUACUCAUAAAUGCUCAUUUGCUCCAUCAUUUCAGGUACUUUAGUGCUUGAGCUGGCUGGCUCCAGUCAGGACUGCAGUUUAAAUGAUGACCUGGCGGUAGGAGAGCUGUGACCUUGGGGAAGUCACCACCUCUCGGGGUUGUGGAGUGGCACAGAUGAGAAUUUGCUCGCCACAUAGGCUGUGGGCUCGCUGCCUGCCCACCCGACUGCUGGAAAACACUGGAGCUCUUGGGGAAAAGGAGGGCGUCAGCCCGAAACAAACAUAUUUACAGGACCGCCAUUGUCCUGGCUCAGCAAACAUGGAAGAGUCUGGCAGAUGGGCUGGCACACUUGACCUGAAGGAAGAAAAGGAACAAAUGGAAAAUUGCUGACUGUGGCAAAGAAGAAGCAGGCUGACCCAUCUGUUAAGAAAAUAUCUUGGCCAAACAACUCACGAUGUUUCUUUUAAAGACUAAGUAGAACCCAAAAAAUGUGUAGCUCUGUGGACCAAAAGGUAUGUGCUGGAACCCUAAAUUGGAAACUGCCAAAAAGUGUAUCAAUUAUAGAAUGGAUAAAUUGUAUUUUCAUACAGUAUUGAGAAUGAGCAAACUAUAACCACAGACGGCAAUAUGGUUGAUUCUCAUAAACAGAACGUUGAGUGAAAGAAGCCAGACAGAAAAGAACGCAGACCACACGGAUGCCUUUACGCAGAGACAAAGACAGGUGCAAUGAUGGUGUCGGAGUCAGCAUGCUGGUUACCCUUGGGGGUAGCGGCUGGAAGAGGGCACAAAUUGGUUUCUGGGAUGCUAGUCAUGUUCUGUUUCUUGAUGUGCUGCUUACAUGCACAUACAUUCACUUUAUGAAAAUUCACUGAGCUGUGCAUUUUUCUAGAAGUACAUUAGAUUUCAGUAGAAAACAAAAACAAAUGACAACAACACAAGCAGAUCCUGAGGUCUUGACACAGUCAGUUCCAGGGAGAGCAGUAGGACAUAGGGCCCCCCACGCUGGUGCCGAACAGGAGUAGAAAGUGACCAGGGAGUGAGGAGUGACCACCGACCUGACAGCUGGCUCUUUAGGGUAGUCAGCCAACUUGCUCCUAAAUUAAGACUUGCUUGGCCUAAAGAAACUAAGCAGCACCCUGGCACCAGUCAUUCUGUGAGUGGUUGAGUGUGGCAGCAGAGCCAGACUGCCCAGGUUGGAAUUCCAGCUACACAGUAGUGUGACCCUGGGUCGGUGCCUCAAACACUCGGUGCCUCAGUUUCCACAUCUGUAAAAUAGGAUUGAAUAUAUUAAAUUUGGAACCGUGCAUGGCACAAAGUAGCAAGUAAGGGUUUGGUUCUGUUGUUGCUGUGUACCAGGCACUUUAGUCCUCACACCCAUUGGAAGAGGUAGUCAGGGGAGAAGUGAUUUCAAUGAGGCCACAUGCCUAGGAAAUGCAGAAUGCAGAUUUGAACCCAAGAUCCUCAUGAUUCUAAAGCCCGCAAUCUAAGGCUUCCCAAUCUAAGACAUUCCCUUAGGAGAGGGAAAACUCUCUCCCAGAAACCAGGAAAUAGAGACGAUGACCCAAGGAAAAUCAUCCCAAUGCAAGGAAAAACUAAGACUUUGGAAUAAGCAAAGGAGAUCGCUGUGUAGCCUUUCAAUAGGAUGCUGCACCCUUCUCAAAUUAUCUGAUUCUGUGUGGGCUCUGUGCCUUUCAUUGCCUCCGAGUUAUUUUACAACUCUGAAAAUUGUAAAUAAGGCGUAGCAAUGCAAAGAUUUCUUAUCUAAAGACAUGCAAAUAAAUUCUGCAACCCGCCCCCCCCA
rnacentral:lncRNA from 1 species